rnacentral:tRNA from 1 species
GGGGCCGUAGCUCAGUUGGGAGAGCGCCUGCCUUGCACGCAGGAGGUCAGGAGUUCGAUUCUCCUCGGCUCCA